GUGCUCGCUUUGGCAGCACAUACACUAAAAUUGGAAUGAUACAGAGAAGCUUAGCAUGGCCCCUGCGCAAGAAUGACACGCCAAUUCAUGAAGCGCUCCAUAUUUUA
ensembl:snRNA U6 U6 spliceosomal RNA